rnacentral:rRNA from 1 species
GACGAACGCUGGCGGCGUGCUUAACACAUGCAAGUCGAGCGGUAAGGCUCCUUCGGGAGUACACGAGCGGCGAACGGGUGAGUAACACGUGAGCAAUCUGCCCUUCACACGGGGAUAACCCUCGGAAACGAGAGCUAAUACCCGAUACGACCACUUCAGGCAUCUGAUGGUGGUGGAAAGUUCCGGCGGUGAAGGAUGAGCUCGCGGCCUAUCAGCUUGUUGGUGGGGUAACGGCCCACCCAGGCAACGACGGGUAGCCGGCCUGAGAGGGUGACCGGCCACACUGGGACUGAGACACGGCCCAGACUCCUACGGGAGGCAGCAGUGGGGAAUAUUGGACAAUGGGCGAAAGCCUGAUCCAGCAACGCCGCGUGAGGGAUGACGGCCUGCGGGUUGUAAACCUCUUUCAGCAGGGACGAAGCGCAAGUGACGGUACCUACAGAAGAAGCACCGGCCAACUACGUGCCAGCAGCCGCCGCAG